AUUGGUUGAAAAUUACCUGUGACUUUGGUCACAGGUGAGAUUCCUUGCCCCAGAGCCACCAGGGCCUCAGCUCACUGUUUGCUCCUCCUUGGCGGGGGGAGUGGGGGGGGGGGGGGGGGGGGGGGGGGGGGGGGGGGGGGGGGGGAGCGGGGAAACCCAUGCUCUGACAUGC
rnacentral:snoRNA from 1 species